rfam:Rattus norvegicus chromosome 19, whole genome shotgun sequence.
GGGGAUUUAGCUCAGUGGUAGAGCACUUGCCUAGCAAGCACAAGGCUCUGGGUUUGGUCCCCAGCUCCG